AAGGCUGAGUAUUAGGCAAAUCCGGUACUCGUUAAGGCUGAGCUGUGAUGGGGAGAAGACAUUGUGUCUUCGAGUCGUUGAUUUCACACUGCCGAGAAAAGCCUCUAGAUAGAAAAUAGGUGCCCGUACCGCAAACCGACACAGGUAGUCAAGAUGAGAAUUCUAAGGUGAGCGAGCGAACUCUCGUUAAGGAACUCGGCAAAAUGACCCCGUAACUUCGGGAGAAGGGGUGCUCUUUAGGGUUAACGCCCAGAAGAGCCGCAGUGAAUAGGCCCAAGCGACUGUUUAUCAAAAACACAGGUCUCUGCUAAACCGUAAGGUGAUGUAUAGGGGCUGACGCCUGCCCGGUGCUGGAAGGUUAAGAGGAGUGGUUAGCUUCUGCGAAGCUACGAAUCGAAGCCCCAGUAAACGGCGGCCGUAACUAUAACGGUCCUAAGGUAGCGAAAUUCCUUGUCGGGUAAGUUCCGACCCGCACGAAAGGCGUAACGAUUUGGGCACUGUCUCAACGAGAGACUCGGUGAAAUCAUAGUACCUGUGAAGAUGCAGGUUACCCGCGACAGGACGGAAAGACCCCGUGGAGCUUUACUGUAGCCUGAUAUUGAAAUUCGGCACAGCUUGUACAGGAUAGGUAGGAGCCUUUGAAACGUGAGCGCUAGCUUACGUGGAGGCGCUGGUGGGAUACUACCCUAGCUGUGUUGGCUUUCUAACCCGCACCACUUAUCGUGGUGGGAGACAGUGUCAGGCGGGCAGUUUGACUGGGGCGGUCGCCUCCUAAAAGGUAACGGAGGCGCUCAAAGGUUCCCUCAGAAUGGUUGGAAAUCAUUCAUAGAGUGUAAAGGCAUAAGGGAGCUUGACUGCGAGACCUACAAGUCGAGCAGGGUCGAAAGACGG
rnacentral:rRNA from 1 species